CCUGAUUCCAAUGCUGCCAUGAUCCCAUACCUUUUUUAUCCCUCUUUUUGGCAUGGCAAACUGUUUUAAGACAUCCAGGAUAUGUUCUGUAUGAAGACUAAGCUCCCUAGACUGCAAUAGAACCACAACCCUUGAUAUUUCAUCUCUGCCAGUGUCCUGCAUUCCGACACAUCAACUCUUUGUGGUAUUUAGAGUCCAAUGCAUUACUAGAGAAUUCCUAGCUGUACUCAAACUCAAACCUGACCAGGUUAUUUCUAUAUUACAACUACCUUUUGCUGAGACAAAAGCCCAACACAUGCUGAAUUUCUUGCAAACAGAACACAUUGGCAUAGACUUUACCAAAGGCUCCAAAGUAUAUUCUUGAAGGGUCAGAAGAGAGAAAUUGCCCUUUACAGUAUAUUAAGAACAGG
ensembl:lncRNA